AAACUAGGAUUAGAUACCCUAUUAUUUUAAACUUAAAUUUUAUCCUCAGUAUUAUAAGUUAUGAUCUUUAAAUUGAAAGAAUUUGACGGUAAUUUUAAUCAUUUUAGAGGAACCUGUUCUGUAAUCGAUAAUCCACGAUAAAUUUUACUUUGAUUUUAUUGUUUGUAUAUCUCUGUCUGAUUGAAUGUUUUAUUAGAAUAUUUUCUUAAAUUUUUAUUGAAUUUUAUGUCAGGUCAAGGUGCAACUAUAUUAAAGUUUGAAAUGGGUUACAUUUAAUUUUAAAUUAUUGGUUUAGUUUAUUUAUUUAGACUAUUAAAUUGGAUUUAAUUGUAAUAGAUAAUAUAUAUUAUUAUGAUAAGC
rnacentral:rRNA from 1 species